AUGUACAGGUAAGGUUUUCUCCCGUCUCAUAAAGUAGUCGAUCGUUUAUGAAUAAUAUGAGUUUUUAUUUUCAAAUCGAUACUGGACACUGUAUGUCCUAUUAAACCAGUUUGACGUUCAAAUCAUUUAAUCGAAAUCUGCAGCUUUAUAAAGUUAGUUUUCAUUGUGAUAUUCGUUUGAAAUUCGCCUGUGGUGGAAAGAGGUCAUGUAAAAGUCGCGCAUUUACCAUGUUUUUACCAUAGUAACAUGUCGCUGAACCAUGUCACGUGUUAUAAAACCUCAGUAACCACAACUCAAUGUAUCUCCCGUCAUAACUGUAGUUUUACUUUGGUAUUUGUAGUAUAAACACGUUACCAUGCUUUUCACCACAGUAACUGUGCUUAUUGUGUACUCUUUAGUUAAGUAACACAUUUGCCAUGCCUUUAAUACCUUUUUGUAAUGUAAUUGUGAUUCAGUGUUUUUUUUUUCUUUUCAGUUUUGCAGUUUCUUCAUAUCACAUACAUCUCCAGCUCCUACAACAACAUUCAGUGUCCAGCAGCUCUUUAUGAUGCUCUCUCUCUCUCUCUCUCUCUCUCUCUCUCUCUCUCUCUCUUUCUCUCUCUCUCUCUCUCUCUCUCUCUCUCUCUCUCUCUCUCAUUUUCCUUUCCUAUUUUUCUGAACUGUAAUUCAUAAAUAAGUCACACAUAUUUUUCUUUCUUUCUCUUGUUCAUCAUGGCAUAUUUUCACAGCUCAGAAUCAGAUUUUGAUCAGUUCUUGUAUUAACAGGGAACUUGUACUCGAAGCUCAACUUGAAGAAGUUUCCAGUGAAGAUGAAGUCCUUCAAAGGUUCGACACAGCUGAAAAGGAAGACCAUGGGCCUGUCAAACCUUGUUUGUGGAGAGGGAUGAAUUUGACCAUCUUGUGUGUUUACGGAGAAGACCAAAAGCUGCUAAGGCAGAUAUUUCCAGAGGUACAAACAGAGCGGAUGGUUGCAUGAUGGCCUCUUUCAGGUUUGUCAACUGAAUGUCUACUAGUGUGGCUCAGCAAGUUCCUGUCAUGAUCAGCCCUCUCCAAGAAAGCUGAAGAGCAAAAACACAAAGAACAUCAGUCCUGUUGGGGAUGAGGAAUGAACAUGGCUCUAUUGUGCCCAAACAGAAAAGAGUGAAAAGUCCUAGAAUGAACAAAUCAUCAGGGCAUCAUUUCUGGAAUUUGGGCAGAAAAUGACUGAAUAUGAAAGACUGCAGUAGAAGGAAAGCUGGUACUGAGAACAUUUGUCUUCACUCCAGACUAAAGAGAAGCGGGUCUGAGGCCAGAGAUGGAGGAGUCAAUGGUCACCAAAUGCAGCGCUGCAGCCUGAAACUGUGAAGACUGAAUUCCCAAACAGCUGUGUGACUGCACAGAUGUUACGGCCAUAAAAGAAACUUCACAACUGACAGCCCAUACCUCCAACAACCUUCAACAGGAAUCAAUGGACAUCUACGCAAGGUUUUUCUUUUGUUGAGGACCGUCAGAGACUCCAGCCACACGAGCCAUGGAUUGCUCUCAACAUCACCAUCAGACAGACAUUAUCACAGAACCAGCACCAGCAGACUGCAAAACAAGUUCCUUCAACAGGCAAUCAGACUGAACUGAACUCGUACCAGUAACACCACACACACACACACACACACACACACACAUACACACACCAGCAGCCUCAUACUGUGUGCACUGCACUCUAUCAGCUACACUGACUGGACUCUGACUCACUAUUAUUCUGCAACCUGAUAUUCUGUUUGCACUAAUUCAUACUGUACUGAAAGUGAAAGUGACGUGACAUACAGUCAAGUAUGGUGACCCAUACUCAGAAUUUGUGCUCUGCAUUUAACCCAUCCGAAGUGCACACACACAGAGCAGUGAACACACACACACUGUGAACACACACCCGGAGCAGUGGGCAGAGGUAUAUCUACAGUAUACAGUG